rfam:Synechococcus phage S-SSM5, complete genome.
GGAAGGGACGCCUGACUUACGGGAGUGACUGAACAAACUUACUGGCAACUGCUGGUUAAGGUGAUGAGACAGGGGUGGUGCCCGCUGCUGGGAACAGUAGAAUCGAAAACCAAUCGGGUCUCAGGCAAGAACGUUUUUACUUCUGUAGUAAUGCCCGUUCUUUGUUGGUAUACAGGAAUCCAACCUCCCAACAC